rnacentral:lncRNA from 1 species
AUGAAGAAGGUUAGGAAAGGCUUCUCAGAGGGCAUGAAGUUCCCACUUCAACUAGAAGAAGAGAGGAGAGAGCCUUCCUAUGGGCAGAGGAAAGACUCCCAUUGGGGAGAGAUCAACAGAUUUGAAGAGCAGAAAGGUGAAUGUGUCUGGCUCAUGGUGAGCUACAGGGAGAAUGAAACAAGAGCCAUCUCUGAGAUCCUGUAUGUUCCUGUCACCUGCUGUGCUAUUUCCCACCCAUUAAAUUAUGAAGUCUUUAUAAAUGUGGCAGAAUAGCAAGGCA